rnacentral:rRNA from 1 species
CUGCGGUGAAUACGUUCCCGGGUCUUGUACACACCGCCCGUCAAACCAUGAAAGUGACCAACACCCGAAGUCCGAUUCGUCGGCCUAAGGUGGGGGGCGUGAUUGGGGUU